rnacentral:rRNA from 1 species
UACGUAGGGUGCAAGCGUUAAUCGGAAUUACUGGGCGUAAAGCGUGCGCAGGCGGUUGUGCAAGACCGAUGUGAAAUCCCCGGGCUUAACCUGGGAAUGGCAUUGGUGACUGCACGGCUAGAGUGUGUCAGAGGGGGGUAGAAUUCCACGUGUAGCAGUGAAAUGCGUAGAGAUCAGGAGGAAUACCGAUGGCGAAGGCAGGUCCCUGGGCUGACACUGACGCUCAUGCACGAAAGCGUGGGGAGCAAACAGG